rnacentral:misc_RNA from 1 species
GAUGAAGAACGUAGCGAAAUGCGAUACGUAAUGUGAAUUGCAAAUUCAGUGAAUCAUCGAGUCUUUGAACGCACAUUGCGCCCCCUGGUAUUCCGGGGGGCAUGCCUGUCCGAGCGUCAUUGCUGCCCUCAAGCACGGCUUGUGUGUUGGGCCCCGUCCUCCGAUCCCAGGGGACGGGCCCGAAAGGCAGCGGCGGCACCGCGUCCGGUCCUCGAGCGUAUGGGGCUUUGUCACCCGCUCUGUAGGCCCGGCCGGCGCUUGCCGAUCAACCCAAAUUUUUUAUCCAGGUUGACCUCGGAUCAGGUAGGGAUACCCGCUGAACUUAAGCAUAUCAAUAAGCGGAGGA